CUAAUACAUGCUAAAACCUCGACUUCGGAAGGGGUGUAUUUAUUAGAUAAAAAACCAAUGCCCUUCGGGGCUCCUUGGUGAUUCAUAAUAACUUAACGAAUCGCAUGGCCUUGCGCCGGCGAUGGUUCAUUCAAAUUUCUGCCCUAUCAACUUUCGAUGGUAAGGUAGUGGCUUACCAUGGUCUCAACGGGUAACGGGGAAUUAGGGUUCUAUUCCGGAGAGGGAGCCUGAGAAACGGCUACCACAUCCAAGGAAGGCAGCAGGCGCGCAAAUUACCCAAUUCUGAUUCAGAGAGGUAGUGACAAUAAAUACUGAUACGGGGCUCUUUCGGGUCUCGUAAUUGGAAUGAGUACAAUCUAAAUCCCUUAACGAGGAACAAUUGGAGGGCAAGUCUGGUGCCAGCAGCCGCGGUAAUUCCAGCUCCAAUAGCGUAUAUUAAAGUUGUUGCCGUUAAAAAGCUCGUAGUUGAACCUUGGACCUGGCUGAUCUGUCCUCCUAAUCGAGCGUACGGAUUCGGUCGGGUCUUUUCUUCUGGGGAGCCUUAUGCCCUUUACUGGGUGUAAUGGGGAACCAGGACUUUUACCUUGAAAAAAUUAGAGUGUUCAAAGCAGGCCUUUGCUCGAAUACAUUAGCAUGGAAUAAUAGAAUAGGACAUCGGUUCUAUUUUGUUGGUUUCUAGGACCGCUGUAAUGAUUAAUAGGGAUAGUCGGGGGCGUCCGUAUUCAAUUGUCAGAGGUGAAAUUCUUGGAUUUAUUGAAGACGAACUACUGCGAAAGCAUUCGCCAAGGAUGUUUUCAUUAAUCAGUGAACGAAAGUUAGGGGAUCGAAGACGAUCAGAUACCGUCGUAGUCUUAACCAUAAACUAUGCCGACUAGGGAUCGGACGGUGGUUUUUUUAUGCCCCGUUCGGCACCUUACGAGAAAUCAAAGUGUUUGGGCUCGGGGGGGAGUAUGGUCGCAAGGCUGAAACUUAAAGAAAUUGACGGAAGGGCACCACAAGGCGUGGAGCCUGCGGCUUAAUUUGACUCAACACGGGGAAACUCACCAGGUCCAGACAUGCUUAGGAUUGACAGAUUGAUAGCUCUUUCUUGAUUGUAUGGGUGGUGGUGCAUGGCCGUUCUUAGUUGGUAAGUUUUAACCCUGUUUUCUUUACGCGAAAUCUUUUAACUAACGUUUUUAUAGGUGGAGUGAUUUGUCUGCUUAAUUGCGAUAACGAACGAGACCUUGACCUGCUAAAUAGCCCGAUGACUUUGUCGUCGUUCUGCUGGCUUCUAGGAGGGACGUUCGGCGUCAUAGCCAGAYGGAAGUACGAGGCAAUAACAGGUCUGUGAUGCCCUUAGAUGUUCUGGGCUGCACGCGCGCUACACUGACAGAGCCAGCGAGUUCAUCACCUUGGCCGAAAGGUCUGGGUAAUCUUGUUAAACUCUGUCGUGCUGGGGAUAGAGCAUUGCAAUUAUUGCUCUUCAACGAGGAAUUCCUAGUAAGCGCAAGUCAUCAGCUUGCGUUGAUUACGUCCCUGCCCUUUGU
rnacentral:rRNA from 1 species